rnacentral:rRNA from 1 species
AUUGAACGCUGGCGGCAUGCUUUACACAUGCAAGUCGAACGGUAACAGGCCUUCGGGUGCUGACGAGUGGCGAACGGGUGAGUAAUGCAUCGGAACGUACCCAGAGGUGGGGGAUAACGCAGCGAAAGCUGUGCUAAUACCGCAUGUGAUCUGAGGAUGAAAGCGGUGGACCGAGCAGCAAUGUUUGGCCUCGCGCCUUUGGAGCGGCCGAUGUCGGAUUAGCUAGUUGGUGGGGUAAAGGCCUACCCAGGCGACGAUCCGUAGCUGGUCUGAGGGGACGCCCGGCCACACUGGGACUGAGACUCGGCCCAGGCUCCUAAGGGAGGCAGCAGUGGGGAAUUUUGGACAAAGGGCGCAAGCCUGAUCCAGCAAUGCCGCGUGCGGGAAGAAGGCCUUCGGGUUGUAGACCGGUUUUGGCAGGAACGAAACGGUGUCCGCUAAUACCGGGCGCUAAUGACGGUACCGGCAAAAGAAGCACCGGCUAACUACGUG